CGUUAGUUGCUUGGCUGCAUGCAUCACCAAUCUGCCUGCUUGUUUCCAGUCAUCAUUGCAUCAGGCCAACGCAACAGACUUCAAAGGUGGGUUUACUCUUUGUCGGUGUUUCCCCCAAAGCUCUUUGCCGCCUCAAUUAAGCUUCUUAAGGCGAGUCACUCUUUCUUUCUCACGUUUUUCUUUUUGCCACUCUUUCUUCUCCUUUUUCUUUCUUAUUGAGAAGUAACCGCCUUAGAUUUCUUUAACCACCAAUAUCUCCUGAUCCAGGUAAUCAGUUCUAUUUUUUAGUAUUUAUCUACAACAUGAGAUUUUUGGUCUGGUAUCAAUGGAUAGUUACUAAAUGUUCUGUACACCAAAUCCUUUUAUGCAUCUUGUUUAUAUAUGUAAAUUAAAAUAUGAGAAUCGACCAGUAGCAGCAAGAACUCAAUUUGCAGAUUAUUUUUUCCUUGUUGUUUCAGUUGAUGUCUUCGGCUAUAAUUUUCUUUUUGUUCACUGCUGCUUGAAGUGGUUACAUUAACCCUAAUCAUCCACAGAAGUUUAUUUAUUUAUAUAUUCUUACUCAUUAUCUGCAUGAAAUCUCUUUUCUCUUUUGCAUCAUGGUGGUAGUACUAAAAAAUUUCAAAAAGGGGGCGAGGGGUUCUCUGUUCCACGUCGAUGGGUUGCUUCCCUCCCCCAAUAGAAAGACUGGAGCGGGCAUUUUUAACGUAUAUGACGGUGAGCAGCUUGGCUGUCUACAUCACCGAGGUGCCUGCCUGUAUUACCAGGGUGCCUGCUUCCGACGCCGCCUUACAAACGUUUAUGACGUAUGAUUCCCGCCAGCGAUGGUCUAAUUGAAGAAAUCGACUACUUGGGCUAUGGGUUUUCCUUUUGGCGGUGAUGUUUUCUUCAAAGCUGCUUUCACCUACUGCUUUGUUUGAAGCGUCGAUGAAAUGUGCGUUCGUCGCCUUGCUUCCCUUUGUCGAGUCACACUCUAUUAUGAGCUCUGGUGGCCACCUAUUGUCGUGGUUUUCAAGACAAUGCUUUGGGUGAGUGAUUUCGACCUCAAAUCGAAGCUACAUGAUUAGGGAUUUUUUGUUUUGUUGUGUUCGUUUGCUGGAUUAUGGCUCUAUCUUCACAAAAAGUUUUAAUUUGAGACGUUGGAUUAAACAAGAAAGGAUGUUCUCCUUUUCAUCUGAUGGUGGUCGGAGACAUACGACGUUGCCGCCUGCCAGGGCAGCUUAUGUCUUCGUUUUUCCUGAUUUAGACAAAGGGUGGGCGAAAAGCUUGACAAGUAAACCAUGGGACCAAAAGGAGCUCAUGCAGUGCCAACUCACAUCAACUAACACACAAUCUAGAAGAAUUCAAAAGAUAUGGUACAUGGUCAUCCAAUGGCUAAGGGAAUCUUAUUCUGGCCCAUUGGUGGCUUAUAUGUAUGCACACAAACACAAUCUUGUAACAAAUAUUAUGACAUUCUAAGAACAUCUAAAGAUGAUGAAAAGAGGGACGGUUCUUGUUCCCAACUAACAAAUUAGUUGUUAUUUUUAAGGGGGGUUCAUGGCCAACGGUCUUGCAAAAGACAUUGUAAGGUAUUGCUAAACCUGGCCCUAAUUUCGAACUUUUUGAUCAGGAAGUCGUUAGUAAUGAAAAAUUAUGAUAUUACUUAUGGUUUUUUUUUUUUUUUUUUUUUUUUUUUUUUUUUUUUUUUUGCAAUUUAUUCUCAUUUUCUAUGUCCAUUACUUUCUUUUUAAAUUACAGAUCAUACGUGGAUAUAGAAUGCCAUGAAACUGUUAAAUCAAAGUUGAAGAAAUUCUCAUUCUUGAACAACUUCAAGAGGAGAGCAUCAACGGUAUGUUUAAGAAGGAGGCGUCGGAUGCAUUCUCUUCCGAAAGACGAAAUCAAUUUUCCGGACCUUGUUAUAGACAAUCCAUUAUAACCGGUAGAGUUUAUUUAUUUUUAUUAAAAUCGAUCACAUCCAUCCUCCCAGUUAAGUACUUCACAAAUUAAAAUAGAUGGGGUAAUUUAUUUUUAUUGUUAAAAAUCUAUUCAAUUAUAUGCUUUUCAUUUACGAGGCUUUCUAAAAUCUAAGAAUUUCCGACAAAUUACCUUUGAAAUUUUACUAUCUUCUUUUUUCACAUAACAUGUUUGGCAAAAUGUCAAACCAAGUGUGCUUGUAAUAUUGGUGUAUGUAGGAUACAAUUCCUAUUUUUGCACAUAUUAUGUUUGACAAAAUGUCACAAUGAAGUUUUAUCAGGUUUUCUUACAUAUUUUACAUAAGUUCAAUUAUUUUACACCAGAUUAUCGCAUCUGUAGUCAAUCCAAUAUAUUAGUUGAUUGAUAAAAAGUUUCAACAACUUAGGUCUUUCAUCUUUUGUCCUGUUUAAUAGGCUUUAUCUUCUCAACUUGCCAUCUCAUGUGUGUGUGUUUGUGCAAAUCAUAGUGUAUAUGUUAUUUCAAUGGCUUACAAGCUAUCCAAGAGAAAAAUUUAUGAUGAUUUGCAUUCAGUGCAUAUUUAUUAUUAUUAUUAUUAUUAUUAUUAUUAUUAUUAUUAUUAUUAUUAUUUGGAAAUGAGCAAAGGUGAAAACUUUAACAGAUUAGCAAUCUAUUUAUCCUUUUUUCUUCUUGUACCUUGUUGACACAUAUGAAAGCUAAGUUUUUCUGGUCAAUGUUGGCUUCUGAUUUUGUUGAUUGCGAUGCAUAUUUUGUCAGCGGAUCAUUUCGAAGAGGAACAUUAGCAUGUUCUCUGGCCUUGUCUAGGUUGAUGACAAGGAAAACAUAGGACAAAGGUGAAGCAAACCACGCUGCUAGGGAGCAGCUACUUGUUGAAUGAUAGACAAAUAAUUUAUCAAAGCAUAAAAGUUUUAGGCCUCAAAAAGCAUGCUCAAGUACUUAAUUCAUGAAUCUGUGUUGAUUUGAUGCUGCAAUCACUGACUCCUGGAAAAGCCUAGGACUUCAACUAAAUAUAAGAAAUGCCAAUCUACUUUAACUAAUUAUUUAUUAGAGCAUCCUACUUAUAUAGUACAUCUAAAAAUUUACCAAUUAAUGGAAUGUGAUCCAAAUAUUAUCG